CUUCUGAUGUUGAAGAGGGAUAAGAGGGAAUGCUUCUGGUGAAAGUGGUUGAAGAAUUAGGAGAAGAAGUAGUCAGGCCAUUGCUUGAACUUAAAACUGGAAGGUCUUUCUUUUGGGUUUGGACAGGUGAAGCCUGUGCUGCAAUCCGCUUUCUCUUUUGUUUGCAGAAGAAGAUUAGCCAUCCAAUGCCAAUGCCGGCAAGUACAGCACAGCACCUCCUACGUUAAGGCCUGCAAUCCAAAGAAGAAAGUUUAAAAUCUCUUUGUUAGAUAAUGAACGUAGACAUAAUCUUAUGUAAUAUACAUAGCUAACAUAAUUAUAGGGAUUCACAACAGAUACAGCACCUCCUACGCUAAGGCCUGCAAUCGAAAGAAGAAAGUUAAAAAUCUUUUCAAGGCAUUUGACCAUGAGCCUGUUUGGAUGAGCUUGUUGUAAGUGACUUUUAAGCCAAAAGUCAUAGGUUAAGAAUUCUAACUUUUGGCUUGUUUUUGUCAUUUUAGCUUAAAAAUAAGUGCUUAAAAGCACUUUUUUACAGCUAGUUUGGCUUAAGAAUAGGCCAAUCCAAACGGGCUCCAUGUCAGUUGUACUAUACAAUUAGA
rnacentral:lncRNA from 1 species